GCCUGGAUGGCUCAGUCAGUUAAGCGUCUGACUUCGGCUCAGGUCAUGAUCUCACAGUCUGUGGGUUCGAGCCCCACGUCGGGCU
rnacentral:tRNA from 1 species